AAUACUUGAUAUUUUAACUCAUCAUGUUAAUCCAAAGAUUUCAUUUUUAGAAGUAUCGUCUUUUGUUACUAUCUUGUUACAUGGCUAUACACCUUACUUAGUUAUCAGUUAAAGAAUCAAUAUGGUUAGUAAAUAUGAGUUAAAUGUCAAAACUAAAACAAAGAAAUGGACAACCAGUGACUCAUAUAUUUGAUCAUGUAGUACCAUGUUGUUAAAUUUUGGAAGAAAGAUGUUUAACUUUACAUAAGUUAAUUGGUUAAGCUAAAACUAGAAGGAAUGAAAAACUAGUGACAUAAUCAACAUUUGCAUAAGUAACCUGACUGUUUUAGAAGUUUAAACACAAGGAACGAAAGAACAUAAACUUAAAAGCUAUUGAAAAUAAGGUAGAGUAAUUAAAGGUUUUAAAAUGAAUGAAAGAUACUUGGUUUUCUAAUCACAAGACUUGAAUAAAAGUAAAACAAUGAAAUUUUCAUCUUUUAUUGUGUUACAUGAUCAUGGUGAAAAUUAGACAAAGGCUUUGUUACUACCUAACUAACUAAAACUAACUGACAAUAAAAGAAAACAUUGGUUUAUCUACUAAACUUUAACGAGAAAAAAAAAAGUAUAAGAAGAAUGAAAAGAAAGAAGAGAUUCAAACCUUA
rnacentral:lncRNA from 1 species